rnacentral:rRNA from 1 species
AUGGCGAUAAGUCAGCCCUGGCCGGUGGAGGAUGUUCGUGAGACGUUUUUCUCCUAUUUCGUGGAAAAUCAGCAUGUGCAGUUGUCAUCAACCCCGGUUAUCCCCGUAGUUGAUACCAAGGUGCCUCUUAUUCAUACAUGUUUGAACCGGUUCAAGGGGACCCUUAAUGGCAGAGGGAGUCAUCGCACCUGCUUUUCGCUGAGAUGCAUUACUGUGGGUGGUGAUGACGAUGAAGUGAUUGAUCACUUCAAAAACGACACUACUUACCAUAGAUUCACAGAAGUCCUUGGAAGUUGGUCUUUUGGGGACUACUUUAAGGAGGAAGCCAUCAGGUUAUUAUUCAGUCUUCUCAACAAGAAAUACAAGUUACCUCAGUCCAGAAUAUAUGCUUCAUACUUUAGUGGUGAUACGUCCCUUGGUUUGAGUUCAGACAAUGAGUCAAAAAAUACAUUGCAGAAAUACCUAGCGGAAGAAAGAAUCAUGCCUGCCAUGUCUAAGGCUGAUUUUUGGAUGACUGGUGAAACUGGUCCCUGUGGGCCAUGCAUUGGAUUUUUCUUCGAUUGUUCGGAUAGCAAAGAUGGUGUUGGUUCCGUAAUCAACAUAAAGGAUGGCAAAUUUAUUGAGAUAAGCCGUCUUGUUUUUGUUGAGUUCAAUAUGCAAGCAGGUGGCGUCUUGAAGCCUUUGCAAGCUAAGCAUGUCUUAACAGGGAUUAAUCUUGAAAGUUUAGCUGCCAUUCUUCAAAAUAAAGAAAGCCACUAUGAAUUAGAUGUCUACGAUGACAUAUUUUUCAGCAUGAGCUGUUGUACUGGUCGAGGAAUCCGGGACUACUCUGGUGAAGUUGGUGCUGCUGACACAGAUGGAGUUGAUACGGCAUACCGCCUCCUUGCAGAUCACAUAAGAAUGAUUGCUGUUACUAAUGCUCCUGGUUCUCAGCUUGGGUUUGGAAAUGAAGGUCGCGAGUAUUUCCUAUAUCGUGCCGAUAAACAGGCUGUGCAAUAUGGCCACGAAGUACUUAAGACAAAUCAAGAGAAAUACGAUGUUAUUAUUCAUGGCAUUCUUAUAUCUGAAGCUGAUUUAUGUCCUGAGCUUGAAGGGUACAGAAAAGUGGAUGAAAUAAUCGAAGAUGAAUUGAUGAUCUAUAAAAAAACCAUGGCGGAGGUCAGUGUGAAGAAGUCCGUGCAUAAUUUAAGGAAACACAUGAAAUAG